rnacentral:rRNA from 1 species
CCUACGGGAGUCAGCAGUGAGGAAUAUUGGUCAAUGGGCGUAAGCCUGAACCAGCCAAGUCGCGUGAGGGAUGACGGUUCUAUGGAUCGUAAACCUCUUUUAUAAGGGAAUAAAGUGUGGGACGUGUCCUGUUUUGUAUGUACCUUAUGAAUAAGGAUCGGCUAACUCCGUGCCAGCAGCCGCGGUACUACGGAGGAUCCGAGCGUUAUCCGGAUUUAUUGGGUUUAAAGGGUGCGUAGGCGGCCUUUUAAGUCAGCGGUGAAAGUCUGUGGCUCAACCAUAGAAUUGCCGUUGAAACUGGGAGGCUUGAGUAUGUUUGAGGCAGGCGGAAGGCGUGGUGUAGCGGUGAAAUGCUUAGAUAUCACGCAGAACCCCGAGUGCGAAGGCAGCCUGCCAAGCCAUGACUGACGCUGAUGCACGAAAGCGUGGGGAUCAAACAGGAUUAGAUACCCGAGUAGUC